rnacentral:lncRNA from 1 species
GUUUUACUGCUCUAGAAAUUCUCUGUGUUCUGCCUAUUUAUUUCUCCUUCUCCUAACCCUGGCAAACACUAAGCUAUUUACGGUCUCCAUAGUCUUGCCUGCUCCAGAAUAUUAUGUAGUUGGAAUCAUAAAGUAUACAGCCUUUUCAGAUUGGCUUCUUCCACUUAGUUAUACACUUUUAAGGUUCUUGCAUAUCUUUUCAUGCCUUGAUAGCUCAUUUCCUUUUAGGCCUGAGUUGUAUUCCAUUGUCCGGAGGUACCACAGUUUAUCCAUUCACCUACUGCAGGACAUGUGGGUUGCUUCCAAGUUUGGGCAAUUAUGAGUAAAGCUGCUGUAAACGUUGGUGUACAGGUUUUCAUGUUGACAUAAGUUUUCAACUCCUUUGGGUAAAUAAGUAUUAUGCAGCAUGAUUGCUGGGUCAUAUGGUAAGAGUAUGUUUAGUUUUGUAAGAAACCACCAAACUAUCUUCCAAAGUGGCUGUACCAUUUUGCAUUUCCACUAGCAAUUAAUUAGAAUUCUGUUGUUCCACAUUCUCCCCAGCAUUUGGUACUGUCAGUGUUUUGGAUUUGGCCAUUCUAAUAGGUGUGUAGUGGUAUCUCAUUGUUUUAACUUAUAAUUCCCUAAUAACAUUUGAUGUGGAGUGUCUUUUCAUAUGCUUAUUUACCAUCUGUAUACCUUCUUUGGUGAGGUGUCUGCUCAGAUCUUUUGCCCAUUUUUUAAUUGGGUUGUUCCUACUUUUAUUGUUUUUUUAAGAUUUCUUUGUAUAUUUUGGAUAACAGUCCUUUAUCAGGUAUAUCUUUUGCAAAUAUUUUCUCUCAGUCUGUGGCUUGUCUUCUCAUUCUCUUGAGAUGGCAUAUUUUUUUGACCUUCUUGUUCAAGUUCUUCAGGUGCACUUUCUGAAGGCUGCUUGAGAGAAGCAUCAUCCUUGCUUUUUAUUGAGGGCCUCCAAGAGGAAAAGGAGCCCCCCUGCGAGUUGUUUACCUGUGUCCAAGUGUUGUUCUCUCACUUUCAGGGUGUAGCCAACUCUCCGUUUUGCUUUCUGACUUAAAUAAGGAGGAGACAUCAUUCACGUCUGGGUCAAGAGGUCCACCCCUCAAACAAGAACAGCACCUUGCAAAAUAUUUUACUAUUUUCCUCGUAAUGAAUAAUUUUCACAAUAACAAGAAGAAACCUCUGGAUCCAUGCCAUCGCAUUCCAUCUGGCUGCCUCACCUGGUGGGGAGGAGGCUGUGAGAGAGUGCUAACGCUGAGGCACCAGCCUGGACCAGCCGUCUGCUCACUGAGGUGCAGUAAGGGGUGGAGUUGGGGACUGGUGUGCCAGGAUCUCCUGCCCCACUGA